rnacentral:misc_RNA from 1 species
GAUGAAGAACGCAGCGAAAUGCGAUAAGUAGUGUGAAUUGCAGAAUUCAGUGAAUCAUCGAAUCUUUGAACGCACAUUGCGCCCCUUGGUAUUCCAUGGGGCAUGCCUGUUCGAGCGUCAUUUGUACCUUCAAGCUCUGCUUGGUGUUGGGUGUUUGUCUCGCCUCCGCGUGUAGACUCGCCUUAAAACAAUUGGCAGCCGGCGUAUUGAUUUCGGAGCGCAGUACAUCUCGCGCUUUGCACUCAUAACGACGACGUCCAAAAGUACAUUUUUACACUCUUGACCUCGGAUCAGGUAGGGAUACCCGCUGAACUUAAGCAUAUCAAUAAGCGGAGGA